UACCAGCACCCCGAGUGGUCGGGACGAUUAUUGGGCCUAAAGCAUCCGUAGCCGGUUCUACAAGUCUUCCGUUAAAUCCACCUGCUUAACAGAUGGGCUGCGGAGGAUACUAUGGAGCUAGGAGGCGGGAGAGGCAAGCGGUACUUAGUGGGUAGGGGUAAAAUCCGUUGAUCCAUUGAAGACCACCAGUGGUGAAGGCGGCUUGCCAGAACGCACUCGACGGUGAGGGAUGAAAGCUGGGGGAGCAAACCGG
rnacentral:rRNA from 1 species